GACGAACGCUGGCGGCGUGCCUAACACAUGCAAGUCGAACGGAGUGCACGUUUUCGGAUGUGCACUUAGUGGCGGACGGGUGAGUAAUACAUGAGCAACCUGCCCUGGAGAGGGGGACAACAGCUGGAAACGGCUGCUAAUACCGCAUGAAGUGCGGGGGAGGCAUCUUCCCUGCACCAAAGAUUUAUCGCUCUGGGAUGGGCUCAUGUCUGAUUAGUUAGUUGGUGGGGUAACGGCUCACCAAGACUGCGAUCAGUAGCCGGACUGAGAGGUCGAACGGCCACAUUGGGACUGAGAUACGGCCCAGACUCCUACGGGAGGCAGCAGUGGGGAAUAUUGGGCAAUGGGCGAAAGCCUGACCCAGCAACGCCGCGUGAAGGAAGAAGGCCUUCGGGUUGUAAACUUCUUUUAUGGGGGACGAAGAAGUGACGGUACCUCAUGAAUAAGCCACGGCUAACUACGUG
rnacentral:rRNA from 1 species